GUUCAUUUUCUUGCUUGAGGACUCUUGCGCAAAUAUAGCUUUGACGAUGCCACGUCAUGUCCCAAUGUGUUAUUGUAUAUUAAUAUUAUUUCGCAGUGAAGUGAACAAAUCAGUUGCAGCAGUCAUGAAGCACAUACUUAAAUCAUGUUUUUCAAAUCUACGACUCGACGCUUCCAGUUCUACUGCUAAUAAAAAAAAGGGUGUGACGUAACCCAGGAUCGUCGAGAGGGCACCCGGCAAAGAGACAAGCUUGACGCCCACUCUAAUCAAAGUCAAAGUUUCAGCAUCUGUAUUAGUUUUAAGGUUAGCUAAAUGGCACAAGGAACAAACGUUCGUGGACCGGUUCGGAUAUUUCAUACGUUCAACAUCUUUUGCAUGGCUAUCUUGCAGGGCUUGGUACUAUCGGUGUUUGGUCCGUCAAUGCUUGAUCUGGCUGAGUUGUUUCACUCUGAUAUUGAGCACGUAUCCUAUCUUGCAUCGACCACAACCAUCGGCGCUCUGAUUGGCUGCGCUGCUGCGCGUUGGUUGUACGAACUUCUGCACGCUCAAAAAGUGAUCAUCGCUGGCGUUCUUCUUAAAGGCCUUUCAAACGCUAUUCUCCCGCUAACAGGCUCAUUGCCUUGUGCCCAUCUUACGUCACUUAUUUUUGGAUUGGCUAGCGGAUUUCUCGAAAUCGGUACUUACGUCUGGCUGGUCGGCCUUUACCCGACGAGCAGAAGUAGUGCCGCGGUGCUACAAACGUACCAUCUCAUGUUUGGGCUAGGUAGCCUGCUUGGCUCAGUAUUGGUUCGACCUUUCGUGAAUCCACAUAGUCAUUUGACAGGAACGACUCAAGCUAUGACUAUGACAACUAGUGAAUCUCGGAUUCAUGUGGCUUACGUUCUCGUCGGGCUAUUUGCAGUUGCCUUGGCUGUAUCACUCUCCAUUAGCUAUCGCAUUGAUCCUCGUGAUGUUCGACAUCGCCGAUCAAACUCCGAUGAUGAGACCUCUAUUGAUCCUCUUGCUAAGUACGAUUCGCGCGACGUUACUGGGCUUUCAAGCGCCAAUCAGGAGACUUUAAGCAACAGAAAGCUGUCUAUGUUCCUGUCGUUUCUAGUCGGUGUGCACUGUCUCAUUUUCCUCGUUAUUCUAAUGUGCUUCUCCCGCUAUUUUUCCAUAUACGCAGUCCUACAGGGCAUUUCGAAAGAUCGCAGUAUAGUGCUGAUAUCGACUUUCUACAUUAGUUUCACAUUUACGCGACUUAUCUGCAUUUACCCAGCAUCUAAGUUGCAGCCGAAGGUAUUUUGGAUCCUCACGGACUUGGCGCUCCUUACUACUGCCUCGAUGCUUUUCGUAACAGGCAGCGGUUCGGAGCGAACCCUACACAUGACAGCCGUGCUUCUCGGAGCGGCUUGUGCACCGGUCUACGCUGCUGGCACGUCAUUUCUUGUAAGUCGCGUUAAUGGCCUCACGCAUAGUCACAUGUCGAUUUUGAAAUUCAUGUCGAACUGCGGAGGACUUGUACCACCGUUUGCCGUGGGACCAAUGAUUGAGACUGCACCCGAGAUCUUCCCCAAGGUGGUACUUGUGAGCACAUUUCUUCUCGUCACUGUGAUGGCCUUCGUUAUCUCAAUCGGCAGUUGGCCUCAAGGGGAGCACGUAAUCGAGGCUGUGAUCAGUACAAGCGUACCAUGCCCUGCUAUAACGAAACAAACUAUCGGACGUUAUAUAAAAUAUUUUAAGAAAACUAACACAAAUGUCCUCUGAGUAUGUACCUAACGUUUCCAGCACUCUCCAAUUAUCAAAAUUUGAAUUGCGGCAUAAACGCUUAUCAUUAAUUAAAAUUGGUUUCGACGAUAGUACAAUCAAGCCCAUUAGUAUUUUCUGUUUCAUGUGGGGACGACCAAUUUUACCUGUAUCUAGAUAAUGGCCAUGUAUGACCACAGCAGAUACUGGCUACUUCUCAUUGCAAAAAUGUUGUUCGAUGAUGAUUAUGAUGUAGCAUGAUUGUGCAAUUAUGAUAAAAACAACAAAAAUUCAACGCCAUAUUGCUCGAACGCAUCAUUUUGAUCUUUAUUUAUUUGUUAUGUAGAGGGCGUUAUUAGCGCGUGAGCGGUCUGCUCGAAUAGCUUCUAAAACUAGCCGAACGACUGAAGAAUUAGAAUAGAGUGAUUAGAAAAUGUCCCUAUUCUGAUUCUCCAGUGAACAAAGCGAGGCAAUUUUAGGGAUCAUUGGCAAGAUUUGUAACGUUUACACCGGGUGUGAUAGCUAAUUGUGCGAGCAAUGUGUUGAAGGCGCUGCGUUGAUUAGGCUGUAGGUGCGUCUCUGCCAGUCGGCUUUCUGAUACGUUAACAUGUAAGAAGCAGCAGUUCUACAUCAUGUAAAUAAAGACACCGCAGAAGUUGCCAUCAUCAUUACAAUGCAAAGAACCCCUGCGAGAGCCACGAUAAAGGCGUAAAAUGCUCAUAUAUACAUGGUUAUAUACCUGAAUGAAAUGACCCUAAAUAGACAGGGCAAGUUCGACCUACCUU